AACGAACGCUGGCGGCAUGCCUAACACAUGCAAGUCGAACGAGACCUUCGGGUCUAGUGGCGCACGGGUGCGUAACGCGUGGGAACCUGCCCUUAGGUUCGGAAUAACUCCCCGAAAGGGGUGCUAAUACCGGAUAAUGUCUUCGGACCAAAGAUUUAUCGCCUUUGGAUGGGCCCGCGUUGGAUUAGCUAGUUGGUAGGGUAAAAGCCUACCAAGGCGACGAUCCAUAGCUGGUCUGAGAGGAUGAUCAGCCACACUGGGAAUGAGACACGGCCCAGACUCCUACGGAAGGCAGCAGUAGGGAAUAUUGGACAAUGGGCGAAAGCCUGAUCCAGCAAUGCCGCGUGAGUGAUGAAGGCCUUAGGGUUGUAAAGCUCUUUUACCCGGGAUGAUAAUGACAGUACCGGGAGAAUAAGCUCCGGCUAACUCCGUG
rnacentral:rRNA from 1 species